GGAGGGGGGGCAAGCGUUGUUCAGAAUUACUGGGCGUAAAGGGCGCGUAGGCGGCCUGCCAAGUCAGGGGGUGAAAGGGCCCGGGCUCAACCCGGGAACUGCCCUUGAAACUGGCAAGCUAGAGUCCGAGAGAGGAUGGCGGAAUUCCCAGUGUAGAGGUGAAAUUCGUAGAUAUUGGGAAGAACACCGGUGGCGAAGGCGGCCAUCUGGCUCGGUACUGACGCUGAGGCGCGAAAGCGUGGGGAGCAAACAGGAUUAGAUACCCUGGUAGUCCACGCCGUAAACGAUGUGUGCUAGACGUUGGAGGUCUUAGGCCUUCGGUGUCGCAGCUAACGCGUUAAGCACACCGCCUGGGGAGUACGGCCGCAAGGUUA
rnacentral:rRNA from 1 species